CCGCCGGCGACCGGCGCACGGGUGAGUAACACGUAUGCAACCUGGCCGUGACAGAUGGAUAACCGGGAGAAAUCCCGCCUAAUACAGCAUGACGCCGGGAAGGGACAUCCCUUUCCGGCCAAAGGGGGCGACUCCGGUCACGGAUGGGCAUGCGGCGCAUUAGGUAGUUGGUGGGGCAACGGCCCACCAAACCGACGAUGCGUAGGGGUUCUGAGAGGAAGGUCCCCCACAUUGGAACUGAGACACGGUCCAAACUCCUACGGAAGGCAGCAG
rnacentral:rRNA from 1 species